CCUACGGGUGGCAGCAGUGGGGAAUUUUCCGCAAUGGGCGAAAGCCUGACGGAGCAAUACCGCGUGAGGGAGGAAGGCCUUUGGGUUGUAAACCUCUUUUCUCAGGGAAGAAGAAAGUGACGGUACCUGAGGAAUAAGCCUCGGCUAACUCCGUGCCAGCAGCCGCGGUAAUACGGAGGAGGCAAGCGUUAUCCGGAAUUAUUGGGCGUAAAGCGUCCGUAGGUGGUUUAUCAAGUCUGCUGUCAAAGCGUGCGGCUUAACCGCAUAAGGGCAGUGGAAACUGAUGAACUAGAGUGCGAUAGGGGUAACAGGAAUUCCCAGUGUAGCGGUGAAAUGCGUAGAUAUUGGGAAGAACACCAGCGGCGAAAGCGUGUUACUGGGUCUGCACUGACACUGAGGGACGAAAGCUAGGGGAGCGAAAGGGAUUAGAUACCCCAGUAGUC
rnacentral:rRNA from 1 species